rnacentral:tRNA from 1 species
GUUUUAAUAAUUUAAAAUAAAAUAUUGAUCUUGUAAAUCAAAAAUAAAUAUAUAAAAUAUAUUUUAAAACU